rnacentral:rRNA from 1 species
UGGGGUAUAUUGGACAAUGGGCGAAAGCCUGAUCCAGCCAUGCCGCGUGUGUGAAGAAGGUCUUCGGAUUGUAAAGCACUUUAAGGUGGGAGGAAGGGCAGUAAGCGAAUACCUUGCUGUUUUGACGUUACCGACAGAAUAAGCACCGGCUAACUCUGUGCCAGCAGCCGCGGUAAUACAGAGGGUGCAAGCGUUAAUCGGAAUUACUGGGCGUAAAGCGCGCGUAGGUGGUUCCUUAAGUUGAAUGUGAAAGCCCCGGGCUCAACCUGGGAACUGCAUCCAAAACUGGCGAGCUAGAGUAGGGCAGAGGGUGGUGGAAUUUCCUGUGUAGCGGUGAAAUGCGUAGAUAUAGGAAGGAACACCAGUGGCGAAGGCGACCACCUGGGCUCAUACUGACACUGAGGUGCGAAAGCGUGGGGAGCAAACAGG